UCUAUAUUCAUGAAAUGGCAUAUUGUGUUUAAUAAUGCUUAUUGAGUUAUUUUUUAGUAUUCUUAUAUUUUUGAGUAAUAAUCACUCAUAAUUUUUAGUGUCCUAAACUGAAUGUUGCCUUUGACAUCUAUUAUAGUGCCAAUUAUUUGGUAAGAUUUUUUUAUUAAGGUAAAAAGUAAGAUUAUAUCAUAUAUAAUAGAUAACAAUGAAGAGGAGAAAUGGAAAUCUCAAAAUUGGAAGUUUGUAUUUUGAUGUCUUCUAUAGAAUAUAGGCUUCCUAGUUUGGCAUGGUUAGAUAACUUUGGAGAAUCCAUAUUGUUUUUUAACAUAUUUGCUUUCUUUUCCUCUGUAUAUAGUAAUAUGUAUGGUUAUUUUGCUCAUGUGAUGUAAUGAUACUGUCUGUUUAUUGUGAAACUUUUUUUUUGUAGCUGACAUCUGAAAUGUUUGAAGCAGAUCUUGAGAAGGCAUUGUUACUAAGUAAACUAGAAUAUGAAGAGCACAAAAAGGAGUAUGAAGAUGCUGAAAAUACUUCAACUCAGUCCAAAGUUAUG
rnacentral:lncRNA from 1 species